rnacentral:rRNA from 1 species
UUAAGUGACUAAGCGUACACGGUGGAUGCCUUGGCAGUCAGAGGCGAUGAAAGACGUAGUAACUUGCGAUAAGCCCAGAUUAGGUAGUAACAACCAUUUGAGUCUGGGAUUUCUGAAUGGGGAAACCCACGUGCAUAAGCACGUAUCCUUACCUGAAUACAUAGGGUAAGGAGGCGAACCGGGGGAACUGAAACAUCUAAGUACCCCGAGGAAAAGAAAUCAACCGAGAUUCCGAAAGUAGCGGCGAGCGAAAUUGGACUAGCCCUUAAGCUUUACACGCGUUAGACGAACGGUCUGGAAAGUCCGACGAUACAGGGUGAUAGUCCCGUAGUUGACGACGUGUGUUCAGUGAAAUCGAGUAGGGCGGGACACGUGAUAUCCUGUCUGAAUAUGGGGGGACCAUCCUCCAAGGCUAAAUACUACUGACUGACCGAUAGUGAACCAGUACCGUGAGGGAAAGGCGAAAAGAACCCCUGUGAGGGGAGUGAAAUAGAACCUGAAACCGUGUACGUACAAGCAGUAGGAGCAGGCUUUGUCCUGUGACUGCGUACCUUUUGUAUAAUGGGUCAGCGACUUAUAUUCAGUGGCAAGGUUAACCAUCUAGGGGAGCCGUAGGGAAACCGAGUCUUAACUGGGCGUUCAGUCUCUGGAUAUAGACCCGAAACCAGGUGAUCUAGCCAUGGGCAGGUUGAAGGUUGAGUAACAUCAACUGGAGGACCGAACCGACUAAUGUUGAAAAAUUAGCGGAUGACUUGUGGCUAGGGGUGAAAGGCCAAUCAAACCUGGAGAUAGCUGGUUCUCCCCGAAAGCUAUUUAGGUAGCGCCUCGGACGAAUACUACUGGGGGUAGAGCACUGUUAAGGCUAGGGGGUCAUCCCGACUUACCAACCCUUUGCAAACUCCGAAUACCAGUAAGUACUAUCCGGGAGACACACGGCGGGUGCUAACGUCCGUCGUGGAGAGGGAAACAACCCAGACCGCCAGCUAAGGUCCCAAAUUACUACUAAGUGGGAAACGAUGUGGGAAGGCUCAGACAGCCAGGAUGUUGGCUUAGAAGCAGCCAUCAUUUAAAGAAAGCGUAAUAGCUCACUGGUCGAGUCGGCCUGCGCGGAAGAUGUAACGGGGCUAAGUAGUAAACCGAAGCUGCGGCAAUAUACUUUUGUAUAUUGGGUAGGGGAGCGUUCUGUAAGCGGUUGAAGGUGUGUGGUAACGCAUGCUGGACGUAUCAGAAGUGCGAAUGCUGACAUGAGUAACGAUAAAGGGGGUGAAAAACCUCCUCGCCGGAAGACCAAGGGUUCCUGUCCAACGUUAAUCGGGGCAGGGUAAGUCGACCCCUAAGGCGAGGCCGAAAGGCGUAGUCGAUGGGAAACGGGUUAAUAUUCCCGUACUUCUUACAAUUGCGAUGGGGGGACGGAGAAGGCUAGGUGGGCCUGGCGACGGUUGUCCAGGUUCAAGUGCGUAGGCUUAAGAGUUAGGUAAAUCCGGCUCUUUCUAAGGCUGAGACACGACGUCGAGCACCUACGGGUGUGAAGUCAUUGAUGCCAUGCUUCCAGGAAAAGCCUCUAAGCUUCAGAUUGUAAGGAAUCGUACCCCAAACCGACACAGGUGGUCGGGUAGAGAAUACCAAGGCGCUUGAGAGAACUCGGGUGAAGGAACUAGGCAAAAUGGUACCGUAACUUCGGGAGAAGGUACGCUCUUGAUGGUGAAGUCCCUUGCGGAUGGAGCUGACGAGAGUCGCAGAUACCAGGUGGCUGCAACUGUUUAUUAAAAACACAGCACUGUGCAAAAUCGUAAGAUGACGUAUACGGUGUGACGCCUGCCCGGUGCCGGAAGGUUAAUUGAUGGGGUUAGACUUCGGUCGAAGCUCUUGAUCGAAGCCCCGGUAAACGGCGGCCGUAACUAUAACGGUCCUAAGGUAGCGAAAUUCCUUGUCGGGUAAGUUCCGACCUGCACGAAUGGCGUAAUGAUGGCCACGCUGUCUCCACCCGAGACUCAGUGAAAUUGAAAUCGCUGUGAAGAUGCAGUGUACCCGCGGCUAGACGGAAAGACCCCGUGAACCUUUACUACAGCUUGGCACUGAACAUUGACCCUACAUGUGUAGGAUAGGUGGGAGGCUUUGAAGCACGUACGCCAGUAUGUGUGGAGCCGUCCUUGAAAUACCACCCUUGUAGUGUUGAUGUUCUAACGUCGACCCCUAAUCGGGGUUGCGGACAGUGCCUGGUGGGUAGUUUGACUGGGGCGGUCUCCUCCCAAAGAGUAACGGAGGAGCACGAAGGUGGGCUAAUCACGGUUGGACAUCGUGAGGUUAGUGCAAUGGCAUAAGCCCGCUUGACUGCGAGAAUGACAAUUCGAGCAGGUGCGAAAGCAGGUCAUAGUGAUCCGGUGGUUCUGAAUGGAAGGGCCAUCGCUCAACGGAUAAAAGGUACUCCGGGGAUAACAGGCUGAUACCGCCCAAGAGUUCAUAUCGACGGCGGUGUUUGGCACCUCGAUGUCGGCUCAUCACAUCCUGGGGCUGAAGUCGGUCCCAAGGGUAUGGCUGUUCGCCAUUUAAAGUGGUACGCGAGCUGGGUUUAGAACGUCGUGAGACAGUUCGGUCCCUAUCUGCCGUGGGCGUUGGAAGAUUGAAGGGGGCUGCUCCUAGUACGAGAGGACCGGAGUGGACGAACCUCUGGUGUUCGGGUUGUGUCGCCAGACGCAUUGCCCGGUAGCUAAGUUCGGAAUCGAUAACCGCUGAAAGCAUCUAAGCGGGAAGCGAGCCCUGAGAUGAGUCUUCCCUGAUACUUUAAGUAUCCUAAAGGGUUGUCGGAGACUACGACGUUGAUAGGUCAGGUGUGUAAGUGCUGUGAGGCAUUGAGCUAACUGAUACUAAUUGCCCGUGAGGCUUAACCAU